UUUGCUCCAAAAAGUCGUCAUGGGAAGAGGAAUCGAAGUGGGUAUUGGGAAGCUGAAUCUGAGAAGGGUUAGGGAUCUGGGGGUGAUGCUGAUGCUGCUGCUGCUGCUGAUGUUGAUGAUGAUGAUGAUGAUGAUGACCAUUUUGGAGGUCUUGAAGAGAGAUUUGAGACGGGUUUAGGAGAGAGUUGAUGGCUUGCAUUUCUCUACUACAAGGCUGCAUAGUAUCUUUAGAAAGAAAAAAAAAAACGAGGAUUGGAGAGAUUCCGGAGAGAGAGAGAGGAAUUGGCGAGGAUGUGGAGUUUGGGGGGUUUGAGGUUUAGUUGAAGGGAAAGUGGGAGGAAGAAGAAAAGGAAGAAGGAGAAGAAGAAGAGGAGGAGGAAGAAGAAGAAGAAGACAUGGGAGGAAUGCAAUAUGAUAAUCAAAAAGAG
rnacentral:lncRNA from 1 species